AGUGAACGCUGGCGGUAGGCCUAACACAUGCAAGUCGAACGGCAGCACAGUAAAAGCUUGCUCUUACGGGUGGCGAGUGGCGGACGGGUGAGGAAUACAUCGGAAUCUACUUUUUCGUGGGGGAUAACGUAGGGAAACUUACGCUAAUACCGCAUACGACCUACGGGUGAAAGCAGGGGAUCUUCGGACCUUGCGCGAUUGAAUGGGCCGAUGUCGGAUUAGCUAGUUGGCGGGGUAAAGGCCCACCAAGGCGACGAUCCGUAGCUGGUCUGAGAGGAUGAUCAGCCACACUGGAACUGAGACACGGUCCAGACUCCUACGGGAGGCAGCAGUGGGGAAUAUUGGACAAUGGGCGCAAGCCUGAUCCAGCCAUACCGCGUGGGUGAAGAAGGCCUUCGGGUUGUAAAGCCCUUUUGUUGGGAAAGAAAAGCAGCAGGUUAAUACCCCGCUGUUCUGACGGUACCCAAAGAAUAAGCACCGGCUAACUUCGUG
rnacentral:rRNA from 1 species